GACGAACGCUGGCGGCGUGCUUAACACAUGCAAGUCGAACGGAAAGGCCCUGCUUUUGUGGGGUGCUCGAGUGGCGAACGGGUGAGUAACACGUGAGUAACCUGCCCUUGACUUUGGGAUAACUUCAGGAAACUGGGGCUAAUACCGGAUAGGAGCUCCUGCUGCAUGGUGGGGGUGGGAAAGUUUCGGCGGUUGGGGAUGGACUCGCGGCUUAUCAGCUUGUUGGUGGGGUAGUGGCUUACCAAGGCUUUGACGGGUAGCCGGCCUGAGAGGGUGACCGGCCACAUUGGGACUGAGAUACGGCCCAGACUCCUACGGGAGGCAGCAGUGGGGAAUAUUGCACAAUGGGCGGAAGCCUGAUGCAGCAACGCCGCGUGCGGGAUGACGGCCUUCGGGUUGUAACCCGCUUUCGCCUGUGACGAAGCGUGAGUGACGGUAAUGGGUAAAGAAGCACCGGCUAACUACGUG
rnacentral:rRNA from 1 species